GUUUCUUUCAUUUGCUUCAAAACAACAAAUCGCAUCUUCUCUUUGAUUCAUGUCGUCAUCUCAGGUUACGUCAUCUUGCUUCGCCGCACCGAUUCAAAUUCCUCCGGCUUCGCCUCGCCGUGCGUUCUUCUCAUCUCGCUUCGUGUUGCCUCCUCCUCGUAUCGCCGUUUUGACUACGAAUCUGAGACUUCGCCGUUUCGCAGCAACGGCCGUGACGAGCACAAAUCAUGUUCGAUUGAAUUAUCCAAAAGCUACUCAAAAGCUGAAAAUUUCCUCAAUUUCAUUCAUCUUCAUUAAUAUUAGUUUAUGAGCUGGUUUUGUGGUUUAUGCUGCAACAAUUGAUUUUUUUGGUGAAGAAGAGAAAGAAGAAAUCAGUGUGAAGUAGUGUUCUUGGUGAUCCAACUCCCGUCGGAUCUGAAGGAACCAGAACACGCUUUUGGUGUCGUUGGAUAGAUCUCGCUGCGAGGAAGAAGUAGCAAUUGACGGUUCUUCGUUAUGAGAUUCUUGUUGGACUUUUGGCAAAGAUAUUAUGGUUAUCUCUGAUCAGUUGAGGACAAGUAGAUGGUGGUUACUAGUAGAGGGAGUGUCAGGUUCUGAUCAUUUGAGAAGAUAUUAUGGUUUUUCUAUUGAUUUGAGGAAUCCAUCUUUGGUGUUGUGAUGCCAAAAGCAUUAGUAAUUGUGAAGCAUAUUACAUCUUACAUCUUGUGUAUGUGUUUUCUUAUGUAGAUGGAUGAGGUUUAAAAACGUGGUAUUGUUAUUUUGACUGUAGUUAUAAUUCAGGAAGGGAUUCGUAACGUUUAGGAUGGCUUUCCUAAAUAUAUUUUCCUAUUUCAUUUUUAUAGUAGGAUAUGGAAGACCUUUUUCCAUACAAA